UUUCAUGUUCCACCUUUAAGGGAACGACAUCCUCUUUACCGGAAUCAGGUCUGAUGCCUUACUCGGCGAAAAUGGCAAAUCCACCCUCCGUUCCUGACCUCAUUGGUACAAUGAAAGAAGGCUCUCAAGGCCCGAUAGUGGAGCUUAUAAUGGCCCCCACGGAGGAGUCGGGGACGAUACAUUCUGAUAAGGUGGUCGAGGGUGAAGAGCAUCCCCUUAAUCAUGUCUGUAAAAUUUAGACAUGUAAAUAAAGCACCAGAAUGAAGGAUGAAUUUGG
rnacentral:lncRNA from 1 species